rnacentral:piRNA from 1 species
UUCNGAUGCUAUAGUGCUGCCAUAAACAU